rnacentral:piRNA from 1 species
UUGGAGCUUGAGCAGGUCUCCUCC